GGCCGGACCUGACUGCUAUCGGAUUGAUACUAAGCCAUGCGAGUCAUUGUAGCAAUACAAGGCAUACGGCUCAGUAACGCGUAGUCAACCUAACCUAUGGACGGGAAUAACCUCGGGAAACUGAGAAUAAUGCCCGAUAGAACAUUAUGCCUGGAAUGGUUUAUGUUCCAAAUGAUUUAUCGCCGUAGGAUGGGACUGCGGCCUAUCAGUUUGUUGGUGAGGUAAUGGCCCACCAAGACUAUUACAGGUACGGGCUCUGAGAGGAGUAGCCCGGAGAUGGGUACUGAGACACGGACCCAGGCCCUAUGGGGCGCAGCAGGCGAGAAAACUUUGCAAUGUGCGAAAGCACGACAAGGUUAAUCCGAGUGGUUUCUGCUAAAGAAACCUUUUGUCAGUCCUAGAAACACUGAUGAAUAAGGGGUGGGCAAGUUCUGGUGU
rnacentral:rRNA from 1 species